UCCUUCAAUUACUAUUGGCUACUCAACCUGCCUAUAAGUCUGUGAUCGUUUUUUUUUUGGUUGGAAGUGCAGCUUAAUGGUAGAGAACGAACGUAGCAUGUGUGACGCCCUAAGUUCAACCUCUCACAUUCCAAAAGGCAGAAGCCUGGGAAUGUAGCUCAUCCAGAAGUGAUUGCCUAGCAUACAUGACCCCCCCCCCCCCUGGAUUAGUUUCCAGGACCACAUAAAACUGAGUAUGGUGGUGGUACACGCCUGUGAUCCAGUACUCCAGGAGGUUGAAGCUGACUGGAACCUCUAGGCAUUCAAGGCCAUCAUCAUCUUCAAUGGGAAUUUGACCCCAGCUUGAGCUGCAGACCCUGUCUAAAAAAAAAUUAAAAGCCUCCUGCCUCCUUUUUGAAGCAAGGAUGAAAGUAGCCUAGGCCAGUCUCCAACUUGCUACCAUCUUCCUGCAUCAGUCUCCCAGUCACUGGGAUGACAGGCAUCUCUCUCUCUCUCUCUCUCUUCUCUCUUCUCUCUUUUUCUCUCUCUUUUGAUAGAGAGAGUGAGAGAGAACCAAACUCAAUUUCAAUCUUGCUAAGAGUUAUUUUUAUUUUAUGCAUAUGGGUAUUUUUGUAGGUACAUCUAUGUACCACUUUCAUGCCUGGCCCAAGCUGGCCAGAAGAAGGCAUCGGCUUGCCUGGAACUGGGAUUACAGAUGGUUGUGAGCUACCAUGUGGGUGCUGGGAAUGGGACCCCAGUCUUCUGGAAGAGCAGCCCGUGCUCUUAACAGCUGAGGCAUCCCUCUCUCCAACAGGUUAUUUUGGUCCUUUCCAACACAUUAAAACCGAAGUUAGUGAGUGGAAGCUCUGUGUAGUUUUCAUUCCAACUGGAAAUGACCUUAUGAUUUUAACACUUCCAUGUUUAUAACAUUGAUCUGCUGGUUGGACAGCUCAGUAGCAGUGUUUGUAUAGCCUGUGCAAGCCCCUCAGUUUACUUUCAGUGUAUAUGUAUGUGUGUGUGUGUGUACAUACUGUUUUUUUUUUUUUUUUCAAGACAGGGUUUCUUGUAGCCCUGGAUGUUCUGGAAUUCACUCUGUAGACCAGGCUAGCUAUAUAUAUAUGUGUGUGUGUUUAUAUCAACCCAUUGGCAUUCUAUUACCAAUCUAUUAGUGCUUUAAUUAAAAUAUAUUAUUUUAAGGAAUGGCAGCUGCAUUGUCAUCAAGUGCUUUUCAGGACCUGUUGAUUUGAUCUUAUCAUUUUUUCCUUUGUUUUGUUACCAUUAUGAAUUAUGCUAAUAGAUCUUAUGUUACUAAACAAAUCCUGGCUCUGGAAUAAACUGGUUAGAAC
rnacentral:lncRNA from 1 species